rnacentral:lncRNA from 1 species
GCUGAACUCACCAAGGAAGUGAGUGUGGAUGGAAGAAUGCAGGAAGCUGAGGAUCAGAGCCUGAGGGGAAAGCCCAUGUUCUACUUUUCAGAGGAGGAAGAGGAUCUUCGUCACAGUGAGGCAUCAGUGGAUGUAGUAAUGGAAGGAGGACUAGGAGAAUGCGCUGUGGGAGAAGCCAUGGAGUCCUCACCGGGAUCUGCAGUUGCUCCGGAAAGACUCUCUGGGUCUUUGGUGGGCGUUACCUUGUAAGCAUUGCUUCAUAUGCAAAUUCUGGACCCUCGGGUUUGCUCUACACCAGACCAUGCCUCCAGGCCCAUAGGAUGCCAGCAAAAGAAAACAUCUUGUCUUCUCUCUGCCUGCCCAAGCUGACCUGCAGAAAAUGGCUAGAAGAGCUCUACGUGACUGUCUCCUGCACACAAGACAGACAGGUCCACGAGAACCUGCCAACAGAGGGCAGAGAACAGCCGUGGAGAGACCAAAUCAGGCAGGAAGACACAUUUCAAAUGCAGUAUUUCAACAAGGGAGAGGAGGAGGCAGUGGAAAAAGAAACAUAGUAAAAUUACUAUGGACUCAGCUUUCAAUUACCUUUAAAUGAGGGUGUUAAACGAUAUAUGUAUAAGAUUCCUUUUAGCCCUGAAAUUCUGUGAUUCUGGUGGAGAUUAUGUCAUUUUGGAUUUGCGUCCCUCAUUAAGCUGUGUGUAGUUGCUUAAAAAGUAUUAUUUGGUUGAUUCUAUCUAAAGUUAGAGCCAUGUCUUUUUCAGAUUGUCCUGUCACCCUUUUGACUGUUCUGUCCUUCCUUUCCUUGCUCAGAUAGGACGAAAUUCCUUUUCACUAACAGUGUUGAAAGCUGGAACUGGAGUUAGCAUCCCUGUGUUAAAGUAGGAGCUGCCCUAAGGCUUCUGUUUCCACUGAGCUUGGGGCAAGAGACAUUGUUGGGGGGCUUGCCUUUGGCCUGUGCACCCAAGCACAAAUUCCUGUUGUAUGCUCCUUAAGGUAAGGGUGUCAUUCAGCUUUUUUGGUAUUCACCCUACAGCUUGUGCAAGGCAGCCACUGUUCAAUAAAGAAAUAUUGUACCUAAGAAUAAA